rnacentral:rRNA from 1 species
UACGGGGGGGGCAAGCGUUGUUCGGAAUUACUGGGCGUAAAGGGCGCGUAGGCGGCCAUCUAAGUCGGACGUGAAAUCCCUCGGCUUAACCGAGGAACUGCGUCCGAUACUGGAAGGCUUGAAUCCGGGAGAGGGAUGUGGAAUUCCAGGUGUAGCGGUGAAAUGCGUAGGAUAUCUGGAGGAACACCGGUGGCGAAGGCGGCAUCCUGGACCGGCAU